UAGUCGCUUAUACAUAUCGUCAUAAGCCGCUAACUUAGCUUCUCUCACAGCUUUCUUCGCCUCUUGCUUCGCUUUUCUAUACCUUUCACCAUUUUCAAAUUCGAAGCACACCCAGUUGGCCGUGGAAAAUAGAAGUGAUCCUUUGGGAUACUUGGGCCUGUUCUAUGGGGACGAGCUUGACAUGCCUGUGUUAGUUCCUACUCAUUGGUAUGUUCCUGUAACCGUUCUUGCAAUUGGUCUUUUGGCAUUUUUGAGCUUUUGGCGAAUCCGACAGAAACGCCGGUGGCGAAGGAAAUGAUCUGGUUCCGGUCGGUAUUCUAAUUUGUAGUUCCAGAUGAUUUUUUUUUUUUUUUUUUUUUUUUUGUAACGUGAAUUCACAAAUACAAGAGUCUUGGAGGUAACAGAAGAGUUGGCGCAAAACUAAGCGCAAUAGCAUUCUAGGAUUUAUACAGCUUAUCCCACUUGGUGGGGGAUAAAGUUUGGUUGUUGUAAGGAAUUUGAUACAAACAAAUUUUGAUUUUCUUUAAUCUAUUUGUAUUUAUGCUAA